AAAGAGAAAGAAAGAAAACAAAAUGAUCACUGCAAUCGAAAAAUCUGUCAUAAUCAUCCGUUUCUUCAACAGUUGUCUUGGCGAUAUUUCAGCCGUCUUUCUUCUCUCGUCUUCGACCUAUGCAUGACUAUGCAGAAAAC
rnacentral:ribozyme from 11 species